rnacentral:rRNA from 1 species
AUUGAACGCUGGCGGCAGGCCUAACACAUGCAAGUCGAACGAGUGGCGGACGGGUGAGUAAUGUCGGGGAAACUGCCUGAUGGAGGGGGAUAACUACUGGAAACGGUAGCUAAUACCGCAUACCAUCAGAUGUGCCCAGAUGGGAUUAGCUAGUGGGGGGGGUAACGGCUCACCAAGGGGACGAUCCCUAGCUGGUCUGAGAGGUUGACCACCCACACUGGAACUGGGACACGGUCCAGCCUCCUACGGGAGGGAGCAGUGGGGAAUAUUGCACAAGGGGCGCAAGCCUGAUGCAGCCAUGCCGGGUGUAUGAAGAAGGCCUUCGGGUUGUAAAGUACUUUCAGCGGGGAGGCGUUACCCGCAGAAGAAGCACCGGCUAACUCCGUGCCAGCAGCCGCGGUAAUUC